rnacentral:rRNA from 1 species
UACGAAGGGGGCUAGCGUUGUUCGGAAUUACUGGGCGUAAAGCGCGCGUAGGCGGUGAUCCAUGUCAGAGGUGAAAGCCCGGGGCUCAACUCCGGAAUUGCCUUUGAAACGGGAUCGCUAGAGUCCGAGAGAGGAUGGCGGAAUUCCUAGUGUAGAGGUGAAAUUCGUAGAUAUUAGGAAGAACACCGGUGGCGAAGGCGGCCAUCUGGCUCGGUACUGACGCUCAGGCGCGAAAAGCGUGGGGAGCAAACAGG